GCUUAGGGAGGAGCUUGCGUCACAUUAGUUAGUUGGUGGGGUAAAGGCCUACCAAGACUAUGAUGUGUAGCCGGGCUGAGAGGUUGAACGGCCACAUUGGGACUGAGACACGGCCCAAACUCCUACGGGAGGCAGCAGUAGGGAAUUUUCGGCAAUGGAGGAAACUCUGACCGAGCAACGCCGCGUGAACGAUGAAGUAUUUCGGUACGUAAAGUUCUUUUAUUAGGGAAGAAUAAAUGAUGGAAAAAUCAUUCUGACGGUACCUAAUGAAUAAGCCCCGGCUAACUAUGUGCCAGCAGCCGCGGUAAUACAUAGGGGGCAAGCGUUAUCCGGAAUUAUUGGGCGUAAAGGGUGCGUAGGCGGUUAAAUAAGUUUAUGGUCUAAGUGCAAUGCUCAACAUUGUGAUGCUAUAAAAACUGUUUAGCUAGAGUAAGAUAGAGGCAAGUGGAAUUCCAUGUGUAGUGGUAAAAUGCGUAAAUAUAUGGAGGAACACCAGUAGCGAAGGCGGCUUGCUGGGUCUUUACUGACGCUGAGGCACGAAAGCGUGGGGAGCAAACAGGAUUAGAUACCCUGGUAGUCCACGCCGUAAACGAUGAGUACUAAACGUUGGGUAAAACCAGUGUUGAAGUUAACACAUUAAGUACUCCGCCUGAGUAGUACGUACGCAAGUAUGAAACUUAAAGGAAUUGACGGGACUCCGCACAAGCGGUGGAUCAUGUUGUUUAAUUCGAAGGUACCCGAAAAACCUCACCAGGUCUUGACAUGCUUCUGCAAAACUGUAGAAACACAGUGGAGGUUAUCAGUUGCACAGGUGGUGCAUGGUUGUCGUCAGCUCGUGUCGUGAGAUGUUGGGUUAAGUCCCGCAACGAGCGCAACCCUUAUUGUUAGUUACCAGCACGUAAUGGNGGGGACUUUAGCAAGACUGCCGGUGAUAA
rnacentral:rRNA from 1 species